UACCGGGAGGACUAGUGGUUAGGCCUUGGCACUCUCACCGCCGUGGCCCGGGUUCGAUUCUCGGCCAGGGAA
rnacentral:tRNA from 1 species